rnacentral:rRNA from 1 species
UACGGAGGGUGCAAGCGUUUAUCCGGAUUCACUGGGUUUAAAGGGUGCGUAGGAGGACAGGGAAGUCCGUGGUGAAAUCCUAGAGCUUAACUCUAGAACUGCCGUGGAUACUCUCUGUCUUGAAUCCCGUGGAGAUGAGCGGAAUAUGUCAUGUAGCGGUGAAAUGCUUAGAUAUGACAUAGAACACCAAUUGCGAAGGCAGCUCGUUACACGAAGAUUGACUCUGAGGCACGAAAAGCGUGGGGAUCAAACAGG